rnacentral:rRNA from 1 species
AUUGAAAGCUGGCGGCAGGCCUAACACAUGCAAGUCGAACGAGUGGCGGACGGGUGAGUAAUGUCUGGGAAACUGCCUGAUGGAGGGGGAUAACUACUGGAAACGGUAGCUAAUACCGCAUACCAUCAGAUGUGCCCAGAUGGGAGUAGCUUGUUGGUGGGGUAACGGCUCACCAAGGCGACGCUCCCUAACUGGUCUGAGAGGAUGACCAGCCACCCUGUAACUGAGCCACGGUCCAGACUCCGCCGGGAGGCAGCAUGGGGUAAUAUUGCACAAUGGGCGCAAGCCUGAGGCAGCCAGGCCGCGUGUAUGAAGAAGGCCUUCGGGUUGUAAAGUACUUUCAGCGGGGAGGCGUUACCCGCAGAAGUAGCACCGGCUAACUCCGUGACAGCAGCCGCGGUAAUUC